GACGAACGCUGGCGGCGUGCUUAACACAUGCAAGUCGAACGGAAAGGCCCUGCUUUUGUGGGGUGCUCGAGUGGCGAACGGGUGAGUAACACGUUAGUAACCUGCCCUUGACUAUGGGAUAACUUCAGGAAACUGGGGCUAAUACCUGAUAGGAGCUCCUGCUGCAUGGGGGGGGGUGGAAAGAGUCGGCGGUUGGGGAUGGACUCGCGGCUUAUCAGCUUGUUGGUGGGGUAGUGGCUUACCAAGGCUUUGACGGGUAGCCGGCCUGAGAGGGUGACCGGCCACAUUGGGACUGAGAUACGGCACAGACUCCUACGGGAGGCAGCGGUGGGGAAUAGUGCACAAUGGGCUGAAGCCUGAUGCAGCAACGCAGCGUGCGGGAUAACGGCCUUCGGGUUGUAAACCGCUUUCGCCUGUGACGAAGCGUGAGUGACGGUAAUGGGUAAAGAAGCACCGGCUAACUACGUG
rnacentral:rRNA from 1 species